GGUGCUGUGGCUUAGUUGGUUAAAGUGUCGGUCUAGUAAACAGAAGAUUCAGAAUUUGAAUCUUAGUAGUGCCU
rnacentral:tRNA from 1 species